ACCUGGCUGGCUCAGUCGGUAGAGCAUGCAACUCUUGAUCUCAGGGUUGUGAGUUCAAGCCCCAUGUUGGGUG
rnacentral:tRNA from 1 species